CGUCUAUAUACGUAUAGCAUAUCAAUAAGCGGAGGAAAAGAAACUAACUAGGAUUCCCUUAGUAACGGCGAGUGAAGCGGGAAGAGCUCAAAUUUGAAAUCUUCAAGGUUCUACCUUGACGAAUUGUAGUUUAAAGAAGUGUUUUCUGUUGGAGUUUUGGUAAAAGUUCUUUGGAAUAGGACAUCAUAGAGGGUGAGAAUCCCGUAUUUGACCAUUAUUUCCAACUUUGUGAUACACUUUCAAAGAGUCGGGUUGUUUGGGAAUGCAGUCCAAAAUGGGUGGUAAAUUUCAUCUAAAGCUAAAUACUGGCGAGAGACCGAUAGCGAACAAGUACCGUGAGGGAAAGAUGAAAAGAACUUUGAAAAGAGAGUUAAACAGUACGUGAAAUUGUCAAAAGGGAAGCGUUUGACACCAGUGUUGUUUAGUUGAAAAUCAAUUCAAUAAUUUUUGAUUUUAAGUAGUAUUGACUUCAUCAGCUUGCUGCUUUCUUUUCAGGAAUUAUUGAAUGCACUUUUCAGUUAACAAGUCAACAUCAAUUUCUUUUGUUGUAAAAGGGUAAGAGGAAGGUGGCUUGCGCUUCGGCUCAAGUGUUUAUAGCCUUUUAUCUCUGCAAUCGGAGAGAUUGAGGUCUGCAGCGUAGAUCCUUCGGGGUUAGAUACAUUGGUGCUAAGCUAUAGCCUUGUAUAGACAACUUGUUGACUAUGCUCAGUCAUGUAGCUUACUCGCUGAUGCUAUUUUACCUACGCUUAGGAUGUUGAUAUGCAUGACUGAUAU
rnacentral:rRNA from 1 species